UACAGAGGGGGCAAGCGUUGUUCGGAAUUACUGGGCGUAAAGGGCGCGUAGGCGGCCUUCUAAGUCGAACGUGAAAUCCCUGGGCUCAACCCAGGAACUGCGUCCGAUACUGGAAGGCUUGAAUCCGGGAGAGGGAUGUGGAAUUCCAGGUGUAGCGGUGAAAUGCGUAGAUAUCUGGAGGAACACCGGUGGCGAAGGCGGCAUCCUGGACCGGCAUUGACGCUGAGGCGCGAAAGCUAGGGGAGCAAACGGG
rnacentral:rRNA from 1 species